rnacentral:rRNA from 1 species
ACGUAGGGUGCGAGCGUUAAUCGGAAUUACUGGGCGUAAAGCGUGCGCAGGCGGUUUUGUAAGCCAGAUGUGAAAUCCCCGGGCUUAACCUGGGAAUGGCAUUUGGGACUGCAAGGCUUGAGUUUGGCAGAGGAGACUGGAAUUCCUGGUGUAGCAGUGAAAUGCGUAGAUAUCGAGAGGAACACCAGUGGCGAAGGCGAGUCUCUGGACGACUCCUGACACUGAGGCACGAAAGCCAGGGGAGCAAACAGGA